rnacentral:rRNA from 1 species
AUUGAACGCUGGCGGCAGGCCUAAUACAUGCAAGUCGAGCGGAGCGGCGGACGGGUGAGUAAUGCCUAGGAAUAUGCCUGGUAGCGGGGGAUAACGUCCGGAAACGGGCGCUAAUACCGCAUACUAUCAGAUGAGCCUAGGUGUGAUUAGAUAGUUGGGGGGUUAAAGGCCUACCAAGGCGACGAGCCGUAAAUGGUCUGAGAGGAUGAUCAGUCACACUGGAACGGAGACACGGUCCAGACUCCUACGGGAGGCAGCAGUGGGGAAUAUUGGACAAGGGGCGAAAGCCUGAUCCAGCCAUGCCGCGUGUGUGAAGAAGGUCUUCGGAUUGUAAAGCACUUUAAGUUGGGAGGCGGUACCAACAGAAUAAGCACCGGCUAACUACGUGCCAGCAGCCGCGGUAAUAC